rnacentral:rRNA from 1 species
UAAUAAUUAUUUUAAUAAAAUUUAAUAUGAAACUCAUUUUUAAAGUUUAAAAGUAUUGGCGGUAUUUAAUUUUAUUCUGAGAAACUUGCUUGUUUAAAAUGAUAUUACACAAUUUAUCUUAUCAUAUUUCUUUGGUUUAUGUAUUGCUGUUUAAUUAAUGAGUUAUUUUACAAUAAUAAUUAGUGAAAUUAAGUUAAGAUUUAUUAGAAAAUUCAAGUCAAAAUGUAGUUUUAAUAUGGUAUAAGUGAGUUGCUUUUUGUUAAGAACAUAGUAUAAAGGCAAUAGUUGAAAUUUUUUUGUGGAAUUUGGAUUAGAAAGUAAGGGAAGAAUAAUUAGUUUUCUUGAUAUUUUAUAUUAAUAUGUACAUAUUGCCCGUCGC